rnacentral:rRNA from 1 species
UGGGUAACCUGCCUCAAAGAGGGGAAUAGCCUCCCGAAAGGGAGACUAAUACCGCAUAAUAUGUUUAAGUCGCAUGACUUUAACAUCAAAGGAUUUUCUUUUAAGAAAUUCCACUUUGAGAUGGACCCGCGGCGCAUUAGCUAGUUGGUGAGGUAACGGCUCACCAAGGCAACGAUGCGUAGCCGACCUGAGAGGGUGAUCGGCCACAUUGGAACUGAGACACGGCCAGCUCCUAGGAG